rnacentral:rRNA from 1 species
CCUACGGGAGGCAGCAGUAAGGAAUAUUGGACAAUGGCCGCAAGGCUGAUCCAGCCAUCCAGCGUGCAGGAAGAAGGCCCUACGGGUUGUAAACUGCUUUUGUCAGGGAAUAAACCUGUGGAUUUACUCCGCAGCUGAAGGUACCUGAAGAAUAAGCACCGGCUAACUCCGUGCCAGCAGCCGCGGUAAUACGGAGGGUGCGAGCGUUAUCCGGAAUUACUGGGUUUAAAGGGUGCGUAGGCGGCUAUGUAAGUCAGGAGUGAAAGUUUGCGGCUCAACCGUAAAAUUGCUUUUGAUACUGCAUGGCUGGAAUCAGGAUGAGGUUAGCGGAAUGUGGCAUGUAGCGGUGAAAUGCAUAGAUAUGCCAUAGAACACCAAUUGCGAAGGCAGCUGGCUAGACCUGUAUUGACGCUGAGGCACGAAAGCGUGGGGAGCGAACAGGAUUAGAUACCCUGGUAGUCCACGCCCUAAACGAUGCUUACUCGACGUAUGAAGCUAGUCUUUGUGCGUCCAAGGGAAACCGUUAAGUAAGCCAACCUGGGGAGCACGACCGCAAGGUUGAAACUUCAAAUGAAUUGACGG